rnacentral:lncRNA from 1 species
CACAAGCACAAAAGGGACCAUCCAAAACGAAAUAGAGAGAAGAAGAGCAUCCAAGUGAAUCCGAAAGCUUCCUCUCCAUCCGUGUGCUGCCUCGGUGAUCCUCUACUUCGUGCCAAAUCAGAAGAGGGUCAAGUAAAGAAGAAGCCGAGCACCUUCAUCUUCAAAACACGUUUGAGGGCUUCUCUUUACUCUAUUUGUUUAUAUUGUUAUAUUUGCUUGUUUAAGAAGCUUUGAUUUGUUUUAAACCUUUAUUUUAAUAUCUUGUAACUUGAUUCAAUCAAGGGAUUGAAUCAAGGGCUUAAGGUUUGU